CCUACGGGAGGCAGCAGUGGGGAAUAUUGCACAAUGGGGGAAACCCUGAUGCAGCGACGCCGCGUGAGUGAAGAAGUCAUUCGUUAUGUAAAGCUCUAUCAGCAGGGAAGAAAAUGACGGUACCUGAGUAAUAAGCCCCGGCUAACUACGUGCCAGCAGCCGCGGUCAUACGUCGGGGGCAAGCGGUAUCCGGAUUUACUGGGUGUAAAGGGAGCGUAGACGGCAGUGCAAGUCUGGAGUGAAAGGCGGGGGCUCAACCCCCGGACUGCUCUGGAAACUGUACGGCUGGAGUGCAGGAGAGGUAAGUGGAAUUCCUAGUGUAGCGGUGAAAUGCGUAGAUAUUAGGAGGAACACCAGUGGCGAAGGCGGCUUACUGGACUGUAACUGACGUUGAGGCUCGAAAGCGUGGGGAGCAAACAGGAUUAGAUACCCGGGUAGUC
rnacentral:rRNA from 1 species